rnacentral:lncRNA from 1 species
ACCGCGGCAUCCUGGGAGGCGUAGUUCUCACUCCUAUGACAGAAAACGAGGGUGUGGCCAGCAAAGGACUUCAAGGCCCAUGAUCCCUUAGGAGGGGGCCGGCUGCAUUAGGGGUGGCUGCUGGUUUGUAACAAUGGGAAUAAUCCACAUGAGAGUUGCUCCUUCUGCCUGGGCCUGGGAAUGAGAAGACCUGUGGAGCUGAGCUACUGCUUACCCACAACCUGCAUAUACAUAAAUCAGAAGCCAGCACUGGUUGUUGUGAGUCGCUUAGAUUUUGGGCUUGAUGAAGAUGACCUUAGGCACAGUGACCCUGAAGGCCACAUGUUAAAGACAGUGGAGCCACAGGAUGGAAGGAAGCUGGUUCCCUGAAUCAUCACGUGGCAGAGAGCGGACCACUAAUCAGGAUCAUGUGUUUCAGAUUUCACUUGACCAAUAAAUCAAUUUCAAUUUUGUUACACUG